AGGAUCUGUCCACUAGCCAGUCCUCGGCCUGGAGGAGCAAUCUCCUCGCUCUGUGCAAGCUACAGGAAGCCAAGCCCCGCCGGAGCUCCGCCUGGCCGGUCGCCGGAAGGACCGGCUCGAAGGGGGCCGAGGCCGCCCCGCCUCGCUGCGGGCUCCGGAGCGCCGCCGCGCCCGCCCGUCCCCCCGACCGCCGCCGCCGCCGCCGCCGCGAGCCGAAGGCGCUGAAGGCGUGGGGCCGCCUGCUCGCCGCCGCCGUGGGCAGCCUCCUGAAGCCCGGCGCGGGCACCCGGGCGGGAGGGGCCGCCGAGGAGGUGAGCAAGAAGGGAGGCCCCUGGCAACUGGCCGCCAAAGACAGAAGCGUCCAGAUUGCGAUCCCCGACAUCCUCAACUCUGCAGAUAAGCUGGAUGCAAAUCAGGAGCCCCACUGGAAGGGCCAGAUCCACGGCAGCCGGCGGGCCCCUUCGUCCCCCACGGCCACGCUCCUGUCCGUGUCCGACAUCUAAAGACUGCCCUGAAGGAAGAGCUUUUGAAA